AUAUUGAUGGUUCAGUGGUAGAAUUCUUGCCUUCUAUGCGGGAGACCCAUGUUCAAUUCCUGGCAGAUGUA
rnacentral:tRNA from 1 species